UACGGAGGAUGCAAGCGUUAUCCGGAAUUAUUGGGCGUAAAGCGUCCGUAGGUGGAAGUUCAAGUCAGCUGUUAAAGCGUGAGGCUUAACCUCAUAAGGGCAGUUGAAACUGAGCAUCUAGAGUGCGAUAGGGGCAAGGGGAAUUCCCAGUGUGACGGUGAAAUGCGUAGAUAUUGGGAAGAACACCGGUGGCGAAAGCGCCUUGCUGGGUCUGCACUGACACUGAGGGACGAAAGCUAGGGGAGCGAAAGGG
rnacentral:rRNA from 1 species